UCGACCAGUCGACCGUGCGGUAUUAUUUAUGCGGUUUCUUCUAUAUGCACUCCUUGGACUGUCAACUUAUCAAGUUUGUGAAGACGCCGCAAUACGUAACAGCAUGAAUUUCGCCUUCGCAGAACAAUAACUCGCCAUAUGGCUUUCAAGUUGAAGACAAGCAAUUGCGAACUACAUAUAGGGACAGCAGCGGUUUAUAUGUAUUUACUUAAAUGUAUACCCACUUUUAAUAAUAAAAACUCACCUGCUGAACACUUGGUGUGGUAUUCGUUCCACCUGGUGAGUCAAUUGGUGAAGUAGAAGAAUUGGAAUGACUACUAUCCUGCGAAAUGAUCUGGAAAAGAAUCAUUAAUAUAUUAAAAUAUAUUACUGCUAGCAUAGUCUGACACGAUGUAAAAAACAAAAAAAAAUUGAUUAAAAAUAUUUUAUUACCUGG